AUUGAACGCUGGCGGCAUGCCUUACACAUGCAAGUCGAACGGUAACGGGCCUUCGGGUGCCGACGAGUGGCGAACGGGUGAGGAAUGUAUCGGAACGUACCUUUCAGUGGGGGAUAACGUAGCGAAAGUUACGCUAAUACCGCAUAUUCCGUGAGCAGAAAAGCAGGGGAUCGCAAGACCUUGCGCUGAUUGAGCGGCCGAUAUCAGAUUAGCUAGUUGGUGAGGGAAAGGCUCACCAAGGCGACGAGCUGUAGCGGGUCUGAGAGGAUGAUCCGCCACACUGGAGCUGAGAGACGGUCCAGACGCCUAGGGGAGGCAGUAGUGGGGAAUGUUGGACAAUGGGGGCAACGCUGGUCCAGCCAUGCCGCGUGAGAGAAGACGGCCUUCGGGUCGUACAGCUCUUUCGGCCGGGAAGAAAUCGUAUCAGCUAAUACCUGGUGCGGAUGACGGUACCGGCAUAAGAAGCACCGGCUAUCUACGUGCCAGCCGCCGCGGUAAGAC
rnacentral:rRNA from 1 species